UUCAUUAUUUUUUAGAGCUGAUGAAGGUGCCACGAGUAGAGUCAAAGUUAAGAGUAUUCUCUUUCAAGAUUCAAUUUCUGUCUCAGGUUACAGAAUUUAAGAAGAGUUUAAAAGCUGUGAACUCUGCUUGUGAAGAGGUCCGAAAGUCUGUCAAGCUGAAGAUCAUGAAGAAAAUUCUUUUUGGGUAAUACAUUAAAUCAAGGAACAGCUAG